AACACUCCAGGACAGAACACAGGCAAAAAACAGACUCAGGAAACGGGAUUCGUGACAGGGAGGUUUAGGGUUAAAAUAUAUGGGAAGGAUCAGGAAUGUUAGAGAUUUGGUCACUGGGGCGAUUUUGAAAGAGGGAGAUUAGAACCACAAAGUAAUAGGGUGACCGGUUUGAUGGCUGGAAAGGACAUUUUCCAUCGUUAAAGGAUAAAAGGGUCCGGUUAGCCCUGACCAUUAUCCGCUUCGAAUUCACCAACUCAAAGACGCUUGCCCGCUCCAUCAUAACCCUGUAAGUUUUCCCUCCCUGUGUGUAGAUCAAACGUCCUGCCUGUAAAUCCUGGGUAUGCCCACAUCAUUAAUUAAUAAGAUGUGUAGAAAACUGUA